AUUAGCACAGUAAGUUUGUGAGUCUACUCUUCUUUUCUUUUGAUGUUUUAUUUCAAUGACGACUGUGGCACAAUUUUCUUGUAAUAUCGUUGUUGCUGCUGGGUAUGUUCAAAGACUUUCACUUCUUCUACUUUAAGAAUAAUUCCAUUGUUAUGUUUUCAUCAAAUGUUCAUUAUUUUUUCCUUGCACCAAGAGCUACAUUUAUUAAGUUACACAAUUUGAAAUUUAAAAAAAAAAUAUUUUUGUGAAAUAAUUAAGAAUAAAAAAGGUUUUUAGAAAAUGUUCGUUAAUAAAAUUUGACAGCUAGGAAAAUUCAGGCAUUUCUUCAUUCAUUUGAACUUCAUUCACAAUUUGUAUACAAAGAAAUUUGGUUCUUAUGCAAGACAGAGAGGGAACGAAAGUCACAAAUGGGGAUUUGACAAUUAUUACUCAAGAUUAAAAUGUUGUAAUGAAAGAAAAUGACAAUAAAAUGUUGAGAACUCUU
rnacentral:misc_RNA from 1 species